UACGGAGGGUGCAAGCGUUAAUCGGAAUUACUGGGCGUAAAGGGUGCGUAGGUGGUUUAGUAAGUUAACUGUGAAAGCCCUGGGCUUAACCUGGGAAGGCCAGUUAAGACUGUUGGACUAGAGUAUGGGAGAGGGUAGUGGAAUUUCCGGUGUAGCGGUGAAAUGCGUAGAGAUCGGAAGGAACACCAGUGGCGAAGGCGGCUACCCUGGCCCCAAUACUGACACUGAGGCACGAAAGCGUGGGGAGCAAACAGG
rnacentral:rRNA from 1 species